rnacentral:rRNA from 1 species
GUAAGGGCGACUGAAAAGGGAUGAGCCCAGCGCGUAGCCUGCAGGCCCGCCCCACUCGAUGGGUCCCGGGCCUGUGAGGGAUGCCGCGUAUGGGAGGAAUCAAGGGGGAGCUAGCCCGACUUGAAGUAUUUAUUGAAUGUUGUCUCACUGCCCACAGAGGGUGUAAGGCCCGUAACGUCGGCGUUUAGCGUCCCUCGCUGGUUCCUCUCGAGAGUCGGGUUGCUUGAAAAUGCAGCCCUAAGUAGGUGGUAAACUCCAUCUAAGGCUAAAUAUUCCCACGAGACCGAUAGUCGACAAGUACCGCGAGGGAAAGUUGAAAAGGACUCUGAAGAGAGAGUUCAAAAGAGCGUGAAACUACCACGAGGUUAAAGCGAGUUGAGCGUUCGUAUCCGACCGGCUGGAUUCAGCCUGCCCCGGACGUUAGCGGCGGAGGGUCGCAAAACGCAUUGAACGGAUCUCCCUCGAUUCUUCGGAACCUUUCCUAGUCUCUUGGGCUGACCGGCGUUACCUCCGGACGCGCGGAAGGGGGAUGCACUUCUGGCCGAAGUAGGACGUCGCGGCCGUUCAGGAGGUGUCGAAGACACGGGGGUCAAGGAAACCGCAUCUUUUCGUCCCGGAUCAAGCGCCCUAUCGUCGUUUUUGACGGCGGUAAGGCGUUCCGGACCGCGAGUUGAGCGGGGCCGCCUCGUUGAUCUGACGGCCUCUCGGACGGUGAAAUCAAGUCAAAAGCGUGCCUGCCGACUGGGUUAGGCGCCCUCUCCCUCCUCUCCGACGGAGAAGAGGCGAAGGCGUCCCCGCAUAAAAG